rnacentral:tRNA from 1 species
GCAUCGAUAGCACAUUGGCUAGUGCAGUCUGUUGGGAACAGGAAGCCGCGAGUUCAAUUCCCGUCCGAUGUU